UUUUUUUUUUUUUAAUCAAUGUUUGACAUACCUGUGGCUUCUUAGAUGUGUUCUUAUUUGUUGAUAAUUUAAAAUGGAUUCUGUCUACAAGUAAUGAAACAUGAUUUUUUUUUUUUUUAAUCGGGAUUGCUCUAUGAAGCAUGGAUAACAACAACAACAACAAAGCCUUUUCCCACUAAGUGGGGUCGGCUAUAUGAAUCCUAGAACACUAUUGCGCUCGGUUUUGUGUCAUGUCCUCUGUUAGAUCCAAGUACUCUUAAGUCUUUUCUUAGGGUCUCUUCCAAAGUUUUCCUAGGUCUUCCUCUACCCCUUCGGCCCCGAACCUCUGUUCCGUAGUCACAUCUUCGAAUCGGAGCGUCAGUAGGCCUUCUUUGCACAUAUCCAAACCACCGUAACCGAUUUUCUCUCAUCUUUCCUUCAACUUCGGCUACUCCUACUUUACCUCGGAUAUCCUCAUUCACAAUCUUAUCCUUUCUCGUGUGCCCACACAUCCCACAAAGCAUCCUUAUCUCCGCUACACCCAUUUUGUGUACGUGUUGAUGCUUCACCGCCCAACAUUCUGUGCCAUACAACAUCGCUGGCCUUAUUGCCGUCCUAUAAAAUUUUCCCUUGAGCUACAGUGACCUACGACGGUCACACAACACGCCGGAUGCACUCUUACACUUCAUCCAUCCAGCUUGUAUUCUAUGGUUGAGAUCUCCAUCUAAUUCUCCGUUCUCUUGCAAGAUAGAUCCUAGGUAGCGAAAACGGUCGCUUUUUGUGAUCGUCGCUAGAUUGCUCCGGUCAUUAGUGUGGAUAAGUAUAUAAAUGGAUAGAGAUAGGAAAGCAAACACCAGAUGUACGUGGUUCACCCAUAUUGGCUACGUCCACGAAAUAGAGGAGUUCUCAUUAAUUGUGAAGGGUUUACACAAGUACAUAGGUUCAAGCUCUCUUUUAGUGAGUACUAGUGAAUGAUUUAGUACAAAUGACAUUAGGAAAUAUUGUGGGAGAAUGAUCUCGUAAUCACGAAACUUCUAAGUUCCGGAGUGUGGUAUCGUCUUGACUUGCCUUAUCUGUCUCGUAGGUAGAUGUGGCAUCUUCUCUGGAAGUACUCUUCCUCCAUCCAGGGGUGGUAUCUUUAACUAGUGGAGAUGCACAAGGUAAUGUAUCAAUUUCACUUGAAGCUUACUUGUAGUUUCAGGCUUGGUCAAGUGCGAUACAAACCAUGUAGUAGGAGUCCUCCAAGUCGCCGAGCUAGGGGAUCUGCUGAAAGAGGUGACAGACAAGGUAAGCAAUCAGAGCUUCAAGCAAUCAGUCCCAGAUCAGAACUUUGAUUUCGAGUUCCGGCUGAUUGUUCACAUUCUCCCUAUCUUGCAGGCAACAUGAAGGAUAAAGAGAAGAAAAAUGAGAAGAGAUGAUAUGGGAUACUUUUGCUUUUGAAGAAGUUACUUUCCACAGGCUUAUUCUUGAACUGGGCUGGAGGGUUUUCUGGUUUCCUCCAGAGUAUAAGGCCGACUGAAGAAUUUGAGGGUCAAAACAAGUCCAUCAAAUCUAUAGUACGUUCGACCCUGCUGAUAUGGGAUACUUUUGCUUUUGACAGAGUAGUGGAUGUAUCGGCACGUGUGCUGUUACGCUUGUCUCCACAUGCUUCCUUGUAUCCUUCUCACUUGCCCUAUAUGUUCCUCAGGCAGAUGCGGUAUCUUCCCUGGAAGCAUAAGAUGUUGAAGAUGAGUACUCGAGAGCAAUGCCAGGUAAGUAAUCAAGUAAGGGGUUCCAGGCAGUCAGUUCCUGACUGGAAGCUUAAUUCCAAGUGCUGACUGAUUGCUCUCUUUCUCCUUGUCUUGCAGGUAAGAACAAGGCCAAAGGAAAAGACAGGGAAAAAAACAUGAUAUGGGAUACUCUUGCUUUUAACCCUGAUGAUAUGAGAUAUUCUUGCUCUAGUAUAGCUUGUUUGCAGAGGUAUUAUCGGGGGGAAAGAAAGCUGAAUAUUUCGAAAGGCUUCUUUGGGAGUGCCCUCUCAGAUAUGAGGAAGGGUUGAGCAUUUUUGCAGGUCUGCCUGUCUGUUGGGGAUGGAGGUCAACAUAUAUAGGAGUCUCCCUAACAACAAGUAGUAAUGCUAUUCCUUUACCCUGCUUGGUCAUAACACGGUAGUGGGAGCUGCCAGCUUCACAUGUUUUAACUCUGUCAGAGCACUUUGAAAAAGUGGUCUGUGGUAUCUGGAAAGCUGAUGUUGCGUGUAAAGAUUACAGACAAGCUUUAUCCAAGGAGAUCCGGCUCUUGAAGUUGGGAAAGUGGUGCCUCUUCGGUUUUCGAACAAGCAAUCCUGUCAGAGAUCUGGCUCUCGAGAUUCGGAGAACGAUGCCUUUUCGAUUUUUGAGAAAGCAAUCCUGCUAGGGGUCUGGCUCUCGAGAUUCGGAGAGCGGUGUCUCUUCGAUUUCUGAAGCUCUGUCGAGUGCAGAUUUUUAUAGAGGCUGGCAUUAAGUUCCAAAGCACACUUGAAUCUCCACCAGUAGAAGCUCCAUUCUUGCACUUCUAAGAUCUUGAUUUGUCCGACCUCUUCUCUCUUCAACACCUUUGAAAAUGUCUAGCCCCUUCGACCGUCGUUUUGACUUGAACCUUGUUGAAGAGGCAGCCACGCCUUCUCCAGACAACAUAUGGCGUCCAUCAUUCGUCUCCCCUACUGGUCCUCUUACCGUUGGGGAUUCCGUGAUGAAGAAUGAUAUGACCGCUGCGGUAGUGGCCAGGAACCUUCUCACUCCCAAAGAUAACAGACUACUUUCCAAACGGUCUGAUGAGUUGGCUGUUAAGGAUUCUCUGGCUCUCAGUGUUCAGUGUGCAGGUUCUGUGUCUAACAUGGCCCAACGCCUAUUUGCUCGAACCCGCCAAGUUGAAUCAUUGGCGGCUGAAGUGAUGAGUCUCAAACAGGAGAUUAGAGGGCUCAAGCAUGAGAAUAAACAGUUGCACCGGCUCGCACAUGAUUAUGCUACAAACAUGAAGAGGAAGCUUGACCAGAUGAAGGAAUCUGAUGGUCAGGUUUUACUUGAUCAUCAGAGAUUUGUGGGUUUGUUCCAAAGGCAUUUAUUGCCUUCGUCUUCUGGGGCUGUACCGCGUAAUGAAGAUCCAAAUGAUCAACCUCUGCUGCCUCCUCCUUCUAGGGUUCUGUCUAGUACUGAGGCUCCAAAUGAUCCCCCUCCAGUGCCUGCUCUUUCUGGGGCUCUACCAACUGCUGAGACUUCUCCUAAGCAACAUUUGUGAAGGCUCCCUCUUGUUUGUUUAUUUUGACUCAUGUAUAUGUACAUAUUUGUGACUUAUCGGGGAUAUCAAUAAAUAGUUUUUCUUCAUUUCAACGUAUUGUGUUAAAUACACCAAAGCCUUAUUCGCUAAGUUCUCUGAAUUUUCUUUUGUUGAAGCUUGUAUGUUGAAGCUUUGUGAGUGGAGCAUGUAGGUUGAGGUAGUAUUCCCUUAAUUUCCCGAGUGAGGAAAACUUCUCGGUUGGAGGCUUGGAAAAUCCAAGUCACUGAGUGGGAUCGGCUAUAUGAAUCUUUGAACGCCAUUGUGCUCGGUCCUGUGUCAUGUCCUUCGUUAGAUCCAAGUACUCUAAGUCUUUUCUUAGAGUCUCUUCCAAAAUUUUCCUAGGUCUUCCUCUACCCCUUCGGCCCUGAACCUCUGUCCCAUAGUCGCAUCUUCUAAUCGGAGCGUCAGUAGGCCUUCUUUGCACAUGUCCAAACCACCGUAACCGAUUUUUUCUCUCCUUCAAUUUAGGCUACUCCUACUUUACCCCGGAUAUCCUCAUUCCUAAUCUUAUCCUUUCUUGUGUGCCCACACAUCCAACGAAGCAUCCUCAUCUCCGCUACACCCAUUUUGUGUACGUGUUGAUGCUUCACCGCCCAACAUUCUGUGCCAUACAGCAUCGCCGACCUUAUUGCCGUCCUAUAAAAAUUUCCCUUGAGCUUCAGUGGCAUACGGCGGUCACACAACACGCCGGAUGCACUCUUCCACUUCAUUCAUCCAGCUUGUAUUCUAUGGUUGAGAUCUCCAUCUAAUUCUCCGUUCUUUUGCAAGAUAGAUCCUAGGUAACGAAAACGAUCGCUCUUUGGUAUUUCUUGAUCUUCGAUCCUCACCCCUAACUCAUUUUGGCCUCCAUUUGCACUGAACUUGCACUCCAUAUAUUCUGUCUUUGAUCGGCUUAGGCGAAGACCUUUAGAUUCCAACACUUCUCUCUAAAGGUUAAGCUUUGCAUUUACCCCUUCCUGAGUUUCAUCUAUCAACACUAUAUCGUCUGCGAAAAGCAUACACCAAGGAAUAUCAUCUUGAAUAUGUCCUGUUAACUCAUCCAUUACCAACGCAAAAAGGUAAGGACUUAAGGAUGAGCCUUGAUGUAAUCCUACAGUUAUGGGAAAGCUUUCGGUUUGUCUUUCAUGAGUUCUUACGGCAGUCUUUGCUCCUUCAUACAUAUCCUUUAUAGCUUGGAUAUAUGCUACUCGUACUCCUUUCUUCUCUAAAAUCCUUUAAAGAAUGUCUCUUGGGACCCUAUCAUACGCUUUUUCCAAAUCUAUAAAGACCAUGUGUAAAUCCUUUUUCCCAUCUCUAUAUCUUUCCAUCAAUCUUCGUAAAAGAUAGAUUGCCUCCAUGGUUGAGCGCCCUGGCAUGAACCCGAAUUGGUUGUCCGAAACCCGUGUCUCUUGCCUCAAUCUAUGCUCAAUGACUCUCUCCCAGAGCUUCAUUGUAUGACUCAUUAGCUUAAUACCCCUAUAGUUCAUGCAAUUUUGUACGUCACCCUUAUUCUUGUAGAUAGGCAUCAAAGUGCUCGUUCGCCACUCAUUUGGCAUCUUCUUCGUUUUCAAAAUCCUAUUGAAAAGGUCAGUGAGCCAUGUUAUACCUGUCUCUCCCAAAACUUUCCACACUUCGAUUGGUAUAUCGUCUGGGCCUACUGCUUUUCUAUGCUUCAUCUUCUUCAAAGCUACAACCACUUCUUCCUUCCGGAUUCGACGAUAAAAAGAGUAGUUUCUACACUCUUCUGAGUUACUCAACUCCCCUAAAGAAGCACUCCUUUCAUGUCCUUCAUUGAAAAGAUUAUGAAAAUAACCUCUCCAUCUAUCUUUAACCGCGUUCUCUGUAGCAAGAACCUUUCCAUCCUCAUCCUUGAUGCACCUCACUUGGUUUAGGUCCCUUGUCUUCUUUUCCCUUGCUCUAGCUAGUUUAUAGAUAUCCAACUCUCCUUCUUUGGUAUCUAGUCGCUUAUACAUAUCGUCAUAAGCCGCUAACUUAGCUUCUCUCACAGCUUUCUUCGCCUCUUGCUUCGCUUUUUUAUACCUUUCACCAUUUUCAUCGGUCCUAUCCUUGUAUAAGGCUUUACAACAUUCCUUCUUAGCCUUCACCUUUGUUUGUACCUCCUCAUUCCACCACCAAGAUUCCUUUUGGUGUGGGGCAAAGCCCUUGGACUCUCCUAAUACCUCUUUUGCUACUUUUCGGAUACAACUAGCCAUGGAAUUCCACAUUUGGCUAGCUUCCCCCUCUAUCCCACACACUGGGUGAUUACUUUCUCUUUGAAAAUGACUUGUUUUUCUUCUUUUAGAUUCCACCAUCUAGUCCUUGGGCACUUCCAAGUCUUGUUCUUUUUUCUCACUCUUUUGAAAUGUACAUCCAUCACCAACAAGCGAUGUUGAUUAGCCACGCUCUCUCCUGGUAUAACUUUGCAAUCCUUACAAGUUAUACGAUCCCCUUUCCUCAUUAGAAGAAAAUCUAUUUGUGUUUUUUACGACCCACUCUUGUAGGUAAUCACAUGUUCUUCUCUCUUCUUAAAGAAGGUGUUGGCUAAGAAGAGAUCAUAUGCCAUUGCAAAAUCCAAGAUAGCUUCCCCAUCCUCGUUUCUCUCCCCAAAACCAUGGCCACCAUGAAAACCUCCAUAGUUGCCUGUCUCCCUGCCCACGUGUCCAUUUAAAUCUCCUCCUAUAAAUAACUUCUCCGUCUGAGCAAUUCCUUGCACCAAGUCUCCAAGGUCUUCCCAAAAUUUCUCUUUCGAACUCAUAUCCAACCCUACUUGAGGUGCGUACGCACUAAUCACAUUGAUAAGUUCUUGUCCUAUUACAAUCUUGAUUGCCAUGAUUCUAUCUCCUACCCUCUUGACAUCUACAACAUCUUGUGUCAAGGUCUUGUCCACGAUGAUGCCAACACCGUUUCUCGUUCUAUUUGUGCCCGAGUACCAAAGUUUAAACCCUGAGUUUUCUAGAUCCUUUGCCUUAAGACCAACCCACUUAGUUUCUUGUAGACACAUAAUAUUUAUCAUUCUCCUCACCAUAACUUCCACUACUUCCUUAGAUUUUCCCGUUAAGGUUCCUAUAUUCCACGUUCCUAAACGCAUUCUACUCUCCUGAACUCUACCCUUCUGUCCUAGCUUCUUCACCCUCCCCCGUCCAAUGGAAUCAAAGUACUUCUUUUGUGUGUCCCGUGUAAAGUUGAUAGGUGCAUAUGCUCCCAAACAACUUUGAGUGGAGUCGUUCGAAAAGAAGUUUCUAUGGCCCCCUUGCUCAUUUAACACUGCAUCCGGGUGCCUAUGGAGAUACAGUGACCCUUGCUUACUUAUCACUGUGCUCGGGCCACACAGCGCACCACUUACGGGUGACGCCCUAGCUUUAGCGCGAUUUCGUCUAUGAAGCAUGGAUAAAGGCAUGAAAUUUGCUGUGAUACAAGGACAUAUUGAAGUGGCUAAUCUUGAAAACAUGGACAUAUUGAAGUGGGUAAUCUUUUAAACAUGGUUAUUAAUCAUAGGACAUGGGGUUAAAUAAAUAUUUCAAAUCAGGUAUUUUUGUUUUGAUAUUUAGUAGUUAGUUGAUAUAUCAAC
rnacentral:lncRNA from 1 species